rnacentral:lncRNA from 1 species
UUACCAAGUAAUUGCAUUUUUUCUUUCAUGUAAUGCAGCUGCUAUGGAAGGAUUCUGCCCUGCUGUAUGAUCAGACAAGCCAUAUCUUCUCAUGAGGAUCGGGACCAUGAUUCUUGACAGAGCUAGCAUUUUCCAAGAAGGAUAUUAAUUAACCCUCAUUAGAGGUGACAGUGCCUGAGAGGGUGCAUUAGGGGAAAAUGAAGGCUCCCUUCCUCAUCACGAACGUCUUUGGCUGCAGACACUGCAAGUGCUUUCAUGCUGAGAUUUGUUGAAGUUGAUACAGUACCUUUGUCCUACUGGAAGGUUAAAGUUGGAGAAGGAAAUACUUGCUCCCAAGAAGCAGAAACUGAACUCUCCCAAAAGUUUGUAAUCAGGUGGUAUGUUCUGGGAAAACAAAACAUCAUGUUUCUUCAGUGCAUCCUGACCUUUUCAGCCACCCUUUCUUUGGAAGAUCUGACACAGACUAACAGCGCCUGCCCCAUCUGACAUGACAGCAUCAGUGCCUCUUUCAGAAGGGGUUUCUUCACAGUAAAUGUGUUUCUGUUUGUUCCAGUAAAUCUGGUAAUGCCAGAAAUGAAUCUUUUCCAGUCUGGUUUCCUAGAUGCAUGACUGCGGAG